CAACAUUUCUGAAGGGAGAUUCUGACUUAGAAAUACAGCUUGUUUCCUUCUAAUGAACCUGGAACUGCAGAGUAAAUAUUGUUGACUCUGUGUCAGAUUGUUUUGUUCCUGGACUCUUCAGUGAUGACGAUCAGAGUCUGAGUGAACCUGCUGUCAGACAGGUUGGCCUGAUUGACGAUGUCAUCGUCCAUCGCCGAUGGCUGAUAGACAUCACGAUGCUGCGCCGGCAAACAGCGUCAUCAGCUCCAGUAUCUCGCCCGUGCAUCUGUUGUCAUGCGACAGAGAAGUCACGUUCUAUAGACAGUUUCUAUAGACAGUUGUGAACGUGCUGACAGCUGGUUGCCCAGGCUAUGGAUUAAAGGUAAUACUGUUGGCCAGCAGAGCCCUGCUCACCCUGACGGCCCACCGCUGCUGUCAGACAACAUCUCAAAGAUGCUAUAAACUGCAGGACCAGAUGGCCAUCCCAAGGUUUCUAGAGAUUACAGCAGCUCCAGACUGAAUCCAAACUCACUUGUGAAGACUUCAGAUGACACCAACGCUCACAAAGACUACAGACGACAACUGUACAUGAACACACAAAACAUUGGACACACAAAACAAAUAUUAUCCUUAUUUUGCCUAUAAGGGUAAAUUUGAUGAUUUUCAAACUGCUUUAUUGUAACGUCUCUUAUAUCUGUAAAUGAACAAUAUUCACUCUCUGAGUUGUGGACCUACAUGUCCCCUUUUAUUUGUAAGCAUCACUUUAAAAAUGUUGAAAGAUAAUGUUAAUGUUAACUGAAUACAAAACUAGAGACUUGUUUAGUAAGAUUUUAUCAGAAAAUAUUUUUGAACUUUUAUCAUGCAAUUUAAAACAUUUUAAUUGCUUAAUUAGUAUUGUUUGCCUGGUUUUAUUUUGUGUUUAUGUAACUCUUUUUAAAAAGUUCUUGGCAUAAAGUUCGCAUGCGAUGC